ACGAACGCUGGCGGCGUGCUUAACACCUGCAAGUCGAACGGAAAGGCCCUGCUUUUGUGGGGUGCUCGAGUGGCGAACGGGUGAGUAACACGUGAGUAACCUGCCCUUGACUUUGGGAUAACUUCAGGAAACUGGGGCUAAUACCGGAUAGGAGCUCCUGCUGCCUGGUGGGGGUUGGAAAGUUUCGGCGGUUGGGGAUGGACUCGCGGCUUAUCAGCUUGUUGGUGGGGUAGUGGCUUACCAAGGCUUUGACGGGUAGCCGGCCUGAGAGGGUGACCGGCCACAUUGGGACUGAGAUACGGCCCAGACUCCUACGGGAGGCAGCAGUGGGGAAUAUUGCACAAUGGGCGGAAGCCUGAUGCAGCAACGCCGCGUGCGGGAUGACGGCCUUCGGGUUGUAAACCGCUUUCGCCUGUGACGAAGCGUGAGUGACGGUAAUGGGUAAAGAAGCACCGGCUAACUACGUG
rnacentral:rRNA from 1 species